UACGGGGGGGGCAAGCGUUGUUCGGAAUUACUGGGCGUAAAGGGCUCGUAGGCGGCCAACUAAGUCAGACGUGAAAUCCCUCGGCUUAACCGGGGAACUGCGUCUGAUACUGGAUGGCUUGAAUCCGGGAGAGGGAUGCGGAAUUCCAGGUGUAGCGGUGAAAUGCGCAGAUAUCGGGAGGAACACCAAUGGCGAAGGCAGCUUGCUGGGACGGUACUGACGCUGAGGCGCGAAAGCGUGGGGAGCGAACAGG
rnacentral:rRNA from 1 species